rnacentral:lncRNA from 1 species
AUAGGAACGGCAUUUGCCCUCAACAUACUGUUCAAUGUUCCUGUUUGGUCGGGAGUUCUGAUAACAGGAUUAAGCACACUCUUGAUUUUGGGUCUGCAAAGAUAUGGGGUAUAUAUAUAAUUAAUAACUUUAUUUAAAAAUACUCAACCUAGGAUUAAUUAAUUAAACACUUAACUUUAAUUCAGAGUUUAAUAAUUAGCGUCUGAUCUGUCUAUCUCUCAGGUCAGGAAGCUGGAGAUAGUUAUUUCGAUGAUGGUAUUUGUCAUGGCGGGAUGCUACUUCGGAGAGAUGGCUUAUGUAAAACCACCGGCCACCGAGCUUUUGAAGGGACUCUUUAUUCCAAGUUUGAAGGGUAACAAUGCUGUUGCUGAUGCCAUUGCUCUAUUGGGAGCUCUCAUCAUGCCGUAUGUAAUUAUUAUAUAUCUAAUGGGAACUUUAUACAAAUAUUAAAUAAGGUGGAAUUAAAAAAAUAUAUUUUUCAAUUCACCAUUGGAUAAAUAUUUCAAGACUAAGAUCAAGUACAAUUCCCAUGUGAAGACUAUAAAGUUAGUUAGUUAGUUAGUUAGUUAGGUUUUAUUGUUUUAAUGAGCUAGAGUUAUCAAAUAUGGUGCAGGCAUAAUCUAUUCCUGCACUCCGCACUAGUAUUGUCUAGGAAGAUACUUCCAUCAGACAAAGGAAUCAAAGUAAGAGGAAUGAUUAAUUAAGAAUUAAGGUUUUGUUGAUGUUUGUAAUCAAUAUUUUCUAAUUAAUCAUUAGGAUGGGCGCAAAUACUUUCUUUGGGAGAGUGCAUCUGCAUUGCUAUUGGCAUUGCUCAUAAACAUUGCAGUAGUGUCCGUUUCUGGUACAGUUUGCGCUGCAGAUAAUCUCUCAUUAGAAAAUGCAAAUAGAUGUAAAGAUGUCACACUUAAUUCUGCAUCCUUCCUUCUCAAGGUUUGCAUAUAUCUAAUUUCUAUAUAUGCAUUUCGAUUUUAAUUCAUGCAACUACUACUUAACUAAUUAUCUUCUAUUUUAAUCCUUGAUUAAGAACGUUUUGGGAAGGUCAAGUUCCACAAUAUAUGCCAUAGCUUUACUUGCCUCAGGAUUGAGCUCAACCAUUACUGGCACAUAUGCCGGCCAAUACAUCAUGCAGGUGUGUGUUAAAAUAAUGGUCUAUUGGUUUCAGAUAUAUAAUUACAGAUAGAUGUGUCACUUUUAUAUAGGGAUGCAAAUUUAAGCAGAACCUUUCUAGCAGCUCGGGCUUGUCUUGAGCUUGGCUUAAUUAGGCUCAAGCUUGUGAGCUAAUGAGUCAAGCUCAAGCCUGGCUACUAAGCUUGAUAGACCAAUCAAGCAAGCCCGAGCUAAGCCUUAUCAAGCCAACCUUAGCUUGUUAGCUUGUUUAGAGUUAAAAUAAAAUAAGUGUAGCGGUGAAAAGAAUUUUCUUUAAAAUACCUAAUUACUUCAGAGAUAUUGUGUUACUUGUGUAUAAUGAGAUAUAUAUAUUCAAUUCUGUAGGGUUUCUUGGAAUUGAAGAUGAAAACAUGGAUACGAAAUUUGUUAACUCGAUCCAUUGCAAUUGUCCCUAGCCUCAUUGUGGCCAUUAUAGGAGGCUCUUUUGGUGCCGGACGACUGAUCAUCAUCUCUUCAGUAUAAUCCUAAACCUUUUUUUCUAAAUUUAACCAAGUAAUUAAUUACUUGAUUAAUUAUAAUGUACGUUGGUGCUGAUCGACAACAACAAUAUUGAUGAUGAACAGAUGAUAUUAUCAUUUGAACUCCCUUUUGCAUUGAUCCCUCUGCUCAAGUUCAGCAGCAGCAGCAAGAAAAUGAGCCAUCACAAUAACUCCAUUUAUGUACGUCUCUAGAUCUUUGAGAAUAUAUAUAUGGUCAAUGUAUACUUAAUCACUGAAUUGACAUAAUCAUCUACCAUUUAGGUCGUUGUGGUGUCAUGGAUACUUGGAUUAAUGAUAAUCGGCAUCAACGUUUACUAUCUAAGUACAGGCUUCAUCGGCUGGAUCAUCCACAGCAACCUUCCCAAAGUUGUUCACGUUCUCGUAGGAAUUAUGGUCUUCCCUCUAAUGUCCAUAUACUUUCUCUCCAUUGCAUACCUCAUUUUAAGAAAGGACACUGUUGUAGUUGCAUCAAUCAUUGGCACCAGCGAUGAUGAAGUUAUUAACAUAUAAACACUAUGUUUAUAUGUAUAUAUCUGAGUAUAUAAUAUAUAAGAUAAAGAAUAUUAAAAUAAUUAAUAAUCUCUUGGUUAAUUUAGCUGCUAUAUUAUUUCUAUAAUAAAUUUCAUUUCGGGAACCAAUAUAUAUUAUUGGUAACCCAUUUUUCAUUUCAGGAGUCAGAUCAAUCAAUGGAUUACAUAUUUAGGGGUCUUUGAUUUUUUUUCCUUCUAGAUUUUUUGAAAUUUUAUGGAAAAACACGAUACGAGAAGAUUUUUACACAAAGAAAUUAGACACAUUUAUAUUCAUGUUAAAUUGUUGUUGAGAUUUUUGACAAGAUUAAAAAUAUAAACUUCUCUAAUGAGAAAUUAUCAAGAGAUAUGGAACAAAGAGAAUCCCCUUUGUAUAACAGUCGAGAUCAAUGAAGUUAACAAUAUCACUUAAUCGAUCAGAUAUAAAAAAUUAACAGAUAAUAAAAUGUGAGAUGCAAGAAUGUAAAUCGUCAAAUUCAGUAUAAUCAAGUAACAAAUCUAGCAAUAUAUAUCACAAGUUUUACUGCAGUGUCUAAGAAAAACUCCCUAAACAGAUCAGUAUAAAUUAGAUGAUAUAAUUCUAAAUCACGAGAAAUUAAUUCUCUUGAAAUCAGGAACAAAUGAAAUCAGAAGCAGAUCAAAAGUUUAAAACCGUUAAAGAAAAAAAAAUCGAAAAUUAGGGGAAAUGAGUUCAAACCUAUUUCAAACAAAUACGAAUUUAUCAGUUUUCCGAUUCUAAAGAUCUCAGAGAUAUAAAUCCAAAAAAACAAAAAAUCUAACCCUGAAAUAAAUUUAAGAACGGAUUCACCUUCCUUGCCAGAUUUGAACGGAAUUCAACAGCGAGGUCGAUCGGAAGUUCGGAACCUGUUUG